rnacentral:rRNA from 1 species
UACGUAGGGUGCGAGCGUUAAUCGGAAUUACUGGGCGUAAAGCGUGCGCAGGCGGUUUUGUAAGCCAGAUGUGAAAUCCCCGGGCUUAACCUGGGAAUGGCAUUUGGGACUGCAAGGCUGGAGUGUGGCAGAGGAGACUGGAAUUCCUGGUGUAGCAGUGAAAUGCGUAGAUAAUCAGGAGGAAUACCGAUGGCGAAGGCAGGUCUCUGGGCUGACACUGACGCUCAUGCACGAAAGCGUGGGGAGCAAACAGG